rnacentral:rRNA from 1 species
AUGAACGGCAACGGCAGGCUUAACACAUGCAAGUYGMGGGGGUAUAGUUCUUCGGAAUUAGAGACCGGCGCACGGGUGCGUAACGCGUAUGCAAUCUACCUUUCACAGAGGGAUAGCCCAGAGAAAUUUGGAUUAAUACCUCAUAGUAUAAUACCUUGGCAUCAAGGAAUUAUUAAAGUCACAACGGUGAAAGAUGAGCAUGCGUCCCAUUAGCUAGUUGGUAAGGUAACGGCUUACCAAGGCGACGAUGGGUAGGGGUCCUGAGAGGGAGAUCCCCCACACUGGUACUGAGACACGGACCAGACUCCUACGGGAGGCAGCAGUGAGGAAUAUUGGACAAUGGGCGCAAGCCUGAUCCAGCCAUGCCGCGUGCAGGAUGACGGUCCUAUGGAUUGUAAACUGCUUUUAUACGAGAAGAAACACUCCGACGUGUCGGAGCUUGACGGUAUCGUAAGAAUAAGGAUCGGCUAACUCCGUGCCAGCAGCCGCGGUAAUACGGAGGAUCCAAGCGUUAUCCGGAAUCAUUGGGUUUAAAGGGUCCGUAGGCGGUCAGAUAAGUCAGUGGUGAAAGCCCAUCGCUCAACGGUGGAACGGCCAUUGAUACUGUCUGACUUGAAUUAUUAGGAAGUAACUAGAAUAUGUAGUGUAGCGGUGAAAUGCUUAGAGAUUACAUGGAAUACCAAUUGCGAAGGCAGGUUACUACUAAUGGAUUGACGCUGAUGGACGAAAGCGUGGGUAGCGAACAGGAUUAGAUACCCUGGUAGUCCACGCCGUAAACGAUGGAUACUAGCUGUUGGGCGCAAGUUCAGUGGCUAAGCGAAAGUGAUAAGUAUCCCACCUGGGGAGUACGUUCGCAAGAAUGAAACUCAAAGGAAUUGACGGGGGCCCGCACAAGCGGUGGAGCAUGUGGUUUAAUUCGAUGAUACGCGAGGAACCUUACCAAGGCUUAAAUGUAGAUUGACCGGUUUGGAAACAGACUUUUCGCAAGACAAUUUACAAGGUGCUGCAUGGUUGUCGUCAGCUCGUGCCGUGAGGUGUCAGGUUAAGUCCUAUAACGAGCGCAACCCCUGUUGUUAGUUGCCAGCGAGUCAUGUCGGGAACUCUAACAAGACUGCCAGUGCAAACUGUGAGGAAGGUGGGGAUGACGUCAAAUCAUCACGGCCCUUACGCCUUGGGCUACACACGUGCUACAAUGGCCGGUACAGAGAGCAGCCACUGGGCGACCAGGA